UCAAACCUCACAGCAACGAUGCAACCAAGACUUUUGUGCGAAAUCUCUACUUCGCGUUUCAAUCAGAAUCGAAGCGAAGAAGAUGAAAUACGCAGCUCAAUCAUCUUCAACAUGGAUAGCGUUCCUUCGUUCAAUGCCGGUUUCGAAUUGCAUCGCGGAUUGCCUCAUUACGUUUUCAUCACGGUUCGCUGUGGAAUCAAAUCCAACAUCGUCACUCCACGCCUCACAUCUUCGGGAUUCUUGAACACGUCACGCGAAUUCACCAUUGACGUAUCCUCAGAUUCUGAUUCCGUCUCAGUAUUGACAUGUUCACCUCGUGGAUUCGACCUAAUGCCAUUAUGAUUCCAAUCUCCACUCGCGUUCAAGGAUUUUAUGAAUUCAAUGAUUCGACAUCGCACUUCCAACACUUCAAUCCGGUUUCGUCGCAGCGGCAAAAAUAGGGUGAAGACGGAAUGAGUCAUUAUUGUGGAAUGAAGAUGAAGCAGGGCAAGGUUGAAUAGCUAGAACAAAGAACUUCAUGAUUGAAUAUCUCUGAUGAAGAUUGAAGGUUCAGUUUGAAGAGUAAAGUUCAGAGAGUGAAGAUGGAUUGAUUUAUAGGGCUUGAGUUUCAGUUAAGAGAGGUAACCGAAAUUACAUUGAAAUUCACAUGAGAUUAAGAGUUAGUUGCAAAUGAGAAAAUUUGUUAGAAAUUAAACUGGAAUGCAAUCUAAAUUCAAUUUCAGUUAGUUAGAAAUGCAACUGAAAAUUCACUUGAAAUGAACUUUUUGUUAGAAAUUUAACUCGAAAUUGAAAUACAAACUAAACUUCACUUCCUGUUUUUUUGAAAUGCUCUCUGAGUUCUGUUAGAUUAUGCAGUUAGCAGUUAACUGUUGGACUGUUAGAUUUUGGGUCUUGAUGAACUGGUUCUAUCAACUGCAGGUUUCGUUAGUCAAGCAAGUUAUGGGUUAAAUUCCUGAUGUUAGUGAGCUCUGUUAGUUCGAUUAGGGAGCUUUUGGAUUUUUGUUAGCUAGUUAGAAGCACAAUAGUCAGUUGAAAUCCAGAAUGAAACUCAAGUGAAAUUGUUGUUUGAAACGGAAUGAAACUAUUGCUAUGACAUUUAGUGAAAAUCCAAUUAAAAUGCUGUUAGAAUGGUUUAACUAUGAAGUUUGUUAUUGUCCUGUUAAUAGAGGAAGGGUUAGAGUGAAUUUGUUAAGGUUAGAUUCGUUUGUUAGAAAUUGAAAAUGAUUAGUUUGGAUGUAGUUAAAGAAGAAAUAAUUAGUGAAGCCUGGCUCUCAUGUUCUGUUAUGCAUUACACCACUAUGUCAGAAUCUAUGAGCCUUAUUUUGGUCUAGAAUUAACAUUUAUUUUAGAAGCUGAUUCAAAACUAGUUAUACUGAUGUUAGGCGCUGACCUUGUUGGGUGGAGGUUGUUCUGCGUAUUUUGCUGGCGUAUUGCAGGUUAAAUUGAUUUGGAUAUCUGUCAUGCAUUGCUUAUGGAAUAUGUUAUUGAAUGCUUGAUAACCUGUUAAUGCAUUGAUUUGAUUUCCAUCCUACAAGUAAUUGGAACGUGCUUCACUUAACCGAACCAAUUCAUUGGAAAGAAGAGUUGGAAUGGUUGAAAUAUGUAGCUUGGAAUUAAUUUGUAUCUUGAGAUUUUUGUAAUUUUUGACUGAAACUGAAUGUGAAUGAGUAUUGUAAUGAAUUUGAAUUUGAAAAUUGUAUUGAAAUGAAAUAAUUAAUAAAUGGAUUUGGGAAUGGU